AGUUGGCUGGGCAGCCACCGCUGUUUUUCUCGAUAUUUCCUUAGGUGGUAUUGGGUUGACAGGGGAGGAAAGUCCGGGCUCCAUAGGGCAGAGUGCCAGGUAACUCCUGGGGGGCGCGAGCCUACGGAAAGUGCAACAGAAAGCAUACCGCCGAUGGUCAUAUUUUGACACAGGUAAGGGUGAAAGGGUGCGGUAAGAGCGCACCGCGCAGCUGGCAACAGAUUGCGGCAUGGUAAACCCCGCUCGGAGCAAGACCAAAUAGGAGUCCUUUGGCGUGGCCCGCGUUGGACUCGGGUAGGUUGCUUGAGGCGUGUGGUGACGCGCGCCCUAGAGGAAUGGCUGCUCACGACAGAACCCGGCUUAUAGGCCGACUCCA
rnacentral:RNase_P_RNA from 1 species